rnacentral:lncRNA from 1 species
GAGUUCACUGGUGGUGUAGAUUUGAAAAAAGAAGAUAGUCUUAUAGCCUUUCCUCAGGAGAGCGAUCUACUCACAAUUUUUUCAGAGAAAUUUCUUUGAGUCUGUAAGUUCUCCACUUACGAAAUAUAUUAUGGCUGAAGGUCGAAGGAAGAAGACAUUAAACCUUUGCCCACUUAUGGCAAUUACUCUGGAGACAACCACUGCUUGGAAAACAAGUAUUAUGAGCUACCUGUGACAACAUUUUUGGAGCCUCAUUCUGAAUAGUUUCACAGGGGCCAAAGAUGCUUCCUUUCCCAGUUCACUGGCUAGUUUGUCUGUUUUUCAACGAUACAAUUUGUUAGUAUCUGAACAAGGAAAUCGCCGCUAUUUACAUGGAAAGAAUCAUAGAGAUGACAGGGUUCCCCCCCAAAGCACUCACUGUGUAAUUGCUGAAGACAUUCCAAGCCACUCUAACGAAGUGUACUGUCUGCCAGUCAUUAUGCUCUUCUUGGAAGACCAUCUGUUGCACUUCAAAUAUGUAAAGGAAUACUUGGAUUCCAGUAACUUGAGCUACUUGUUUACAGAAAAACACACAUUGUGUAAGUAUUCUGCUGUACCUUUUACACUUGACAUAUUUAUACACAUGCUUGUAGCAUUAUGUAUAGUGCACGUUUUGGUAACUUUGCAGCGACUUGAUCGUAUUGUUAAAGCUUGAUAGACAUUUCUUUACAGUGACGAUAUUUUUAAUCUUUUUUAAAAUGGUUUGGUAGUAGUGACUAAUGCCGACUAGGUGGCUCUGGGCAUCUAGCCAUUUUUAGGUAGUUUAAUUUGUUAAAAAUUAUCUUUCUUCCCACCCAAAUCCCCUUGAAACCAUUUGGAGAAGAGAACUGUCGAACAGUUGCCAAUAAUAAGUCCUGCUGAGACCUCUAUACUCUCCUGAUAGAACUGCCUGUGCCAACUGGAGACUGACUGGCAUGAAUUUGAACUCUAUACUACUUGAUAUAUUUGCUUCACAUGAACCAAUUACAAUAAUUACCACCUUUGUAGCUGAAGUUUAAGCAUUCAGUCUGCACUUCAUACCUCAGGUUGCUGGCAAUAUGUUCAAUCCUAUAAUCUCAAUUUUUGUUGAGCUAAUAAAGUAGAAAAUAAAUACUUUGAAAAAUUAAGA